rnacentral:rRNA from 1 species
GAUGAACGCUGGCGGCGUGCUUAACACAUGCAAGUCGAACGGUGAAACCAAGCUUGCUUGGUGGAUCAGUGGCGAACGGGUGAGUAACACGUGAGCAACCUGCCCUGGACUCUGGGAUAAGCGCUGGAAACGGCGUCUAAUACUGGAUAUGAGCCUCUUCCGCAUGGUGGGGGUUGGAAAGAUUUUUUGGUCUGGGAUGGGCUCGCGGCCUAUCAGCUUGUUGGUGAGGUAAUGGCUCACCAAGGCGUCGACGGGUAGCCGGCCUGAGAGGGUGACCGGCCACACUGGGACUGAGACACGGCCCAGACUCCUACGGGAGGCAGCAGUGGGGAAUAUUGCACAAUGGGCGAAAGCCUGAUGCAGCAACGCCGCGUGAGGGAUGACGGCCUUCGGGUUGUAAACCUCUUUUAGCAGGGAAGAAGCGAAAGUGACGGUACCUGCAGAAAAAGCGCCGGCUAACUACGUG